rnacentral:rRNA from 1 species
AGUGAACGCUGGCGGUAGGCCUAACACAUGCAAGUCGAACGGCAGCACAGUAAGAGCUUGCUCUUACGGGUGGCGAGUGGCGGACGGGUGAGGAAUACAUCGGAAUCUACUUUUUCGUGGGGGAUAACGUAGGGAAACUUACGCUAAUACCGCAUACGACCUACGGGUGAAAGCAGGGGAUCUUCGGACCUUGCGCGAUUGAAUGAGCCGAUGUCGGAUUAGCUAGUUGGCGGGGUAAAGGCCCACCAAGGCGACGAUCCGUAGCUGGUCUGAGAGGAUGAUCAGCCACACUAGAACUGAGACACGGUCCAGACUCCUACGGGAGGCAGCAGUGGGGAAUAUUGGACAAUGGGCGCAAGCCUGAUCCAGCCAUACCGCGUGGGUGAAGAAGGCCUUCGGGUUGUAAAGCCCUUUUGUUGGGAAAGAAAAGCAGCAGGUUAAUACCCCGCUGUUCUGACGGUACCCAAAGAAUAGGCACCGGCUAACUUCGUG